rnacentral:rRNA from 1 species
AUACGUAGGGGGCGAGCGUUGUCCGGAAUGAUUGGGCGUAAAGGGCGCGUAGGCGGCCUGUUAAGUCUGGAGUGAAAGUCCUGUUUUCAAGAUGGGAAUUGCUUUGGAUACUGAUGGGCUUGAGCGCAGGAGAGGUUAUCGGAAUUCCCGGUGUAGCGGUGAAAUGCGUAGAGAUCGAGAGGAACACCAGUGGCGAAGGCGGGUAACUGGACUGCAACUGACGCUGAGGCGCGAAAGUGUGGGGAGCAAACAGGAUUAUAUACCCUGGUAGUCCACACUGUAAACGAUGAAUGCUAGGUGUAAGAGGUAUCGACCCCUUUUGUGCCGGAGUUAACACAAUAAGCAUUCCGCCUGGGGAGUACGGCCGCAAGGUUGAAACUCAAAGGAAUUGACGGGG